rnacentral:tRNA from 1 species
CGCCUCGGUGGCGCACGAGCAGUAUCCAGCGUUUCCGGUGCGCUGGAUGCUGCACGACCCGUUCGAUUCGGUCGCGGCGACC